UACGUAGGGUGCGAGCGUUAAUCGGAAUUACUGGGCGUAAAGCGUGCGCAGGCGGUUCGUUGUGUCGGCGGUGAAAGCCCCGGGCUUAACCUGGGAAUGGCCGUUGAAACUGGCGAACUGGAGUGUGGCAGAGGGGGGUGGAAUUCCGCGUGUAGCGGUGAAAUGCGUAGAGAUGUGGAGGAACACCAAUGGCGAAGGCAGCCUUCUGGGCCAACACUGACGCUCAUGCACGAAAGCGUGGGGAGCAAACAGG
rnacentral:rRNA from 1 species